UCUGUGUGUUGUUUACGAAUGUCAUGGAGGUCUUGCAAUAAAUCGACCGUUCAAAUAUGGUGACACAGUCAAGAGUGUAUAUAGCUGGAUUAUACAACAAAUGGAUCCAGAAAUUCUUCCCCCGGUGUUCCAUUUAGAGUGCUCAUCCCCAACCAGUUGCCAGAACAAAGGAUGCCCCCAUAUAUAUGAAUUGGGCAACAGCUAUAAAGUUAAGGUCGAGGAGUUGCCGGAUGUCUUAUACCUUCGUGAAGGGUGUUUUGCUGUAAAUGAUACCUUUACUGGUCUUGGGGAUGUCCUGAUUUAGCCAGUCAGCAGCAUUCAGGAAUUUUGUGGCGGCC